ACUUAAAUAGCUUAUGUAGAGCAUGAUAUUGAAGAUAUCAAGGAAAUUUUGAAUUUUUAAGUA
rnacentral:tRNA from 1 species